rnacentral:rRNA from 1 species
AUUGAACGCUGGCGGCAGGCUUAACACAUGCAAGUCGAGCGGGGUGAUGGUGCUUGCACUAUCACUUAGCGGCGGACGGGUGAGUAAUGCUUAGGAAUCUGCCUAUUAGUGGGGGACAACAUCUCGAAAGGGAUGCUAAUACCGCAUACGUCCUACGGGAGAAAGCAGGGGAUCACUUGUGACCUUGCGCUAAUAGAUGAGCCUAAGUCGGGUUAGCUAGUUGGUGGGGUAAAGGCCUACCAAGGCGACGAUCUGUAGCGGGUCUGAGAGGAUGAUCCGCCAAACUUGGACGGGGAUACGGCCCAGAGUCCUACGGGAGGCAGCAGUGGGGAAUAUUGGACAAUGGGGGGAACCCUGAUCCAGCCAUGCCGCGUGUGUGAAGAAGGCCUUAUGGUUGUAAAGCACUUUAAGCGAGGAGGAGGCUCUUUUGGUUAAUACCCAAGAUGAGUGGACGUUACUCGCAGAAUAAGCACCGGCUAACUUUGUGCCAGCCGCCGCCGUAA